AACGAACGCUGGCGGCAUGCCUAACACAUGCAAGUCGAACGAGACCUUCGGGUCUAGUGGCGCACGGGUGCGUAACGCGUGGGAACCUGCCCUUAGGUUCGGAAUAACUCCCCGAAAGGGGUGCUAAUACCGGAUAAUGUCUUCGGACCAAAGAUUUAUCGCGUUUGGAUGGGCCCGCGUUGGAUUAGCUAGUUGGUAGGGUAAAAGCAUGUCAAGGCGACGAUCCAUAGCUGGUCUGAGAGGAUGAUCAGCCACACUGGGGCUGAGACACGGCCCAGACUCCUACGGGAGGGGGCAGUGGGGAAUAUUAGGCGAUGGGCGAAAGCCUGAUCCAGCAAUGCCGCGUAAGUGAUGAAGGCGUUAGGGUUGUAAAGCUCUUUUACACGGGAUGAUAAUGACGGUACCGGGAGAAUAAGCACCGGCUAACUACGUG
rnacentral:rRNA from 1 species